GCGAUUUUAGUUUAUUAAUAGAAUAUUGGUUUGUCUAACCGACGGUGAUCACAAGAUCAAAUCGCU
rnacentral:tRNA from 1 species